ACGAACGCUGGCGGCGUGCCUAACACAUGCAAGUCGAGCGAGAAAAGGGGGGCGAACUCCCUCGAGUACAGCGGCGCACGGGUGAGUAACACGUAGGUAAUCUACCCUCCGAGCCCGGAACUAACCUACCGAAAGGUGGGCUAAUACCGGAUAUGACCACGGGAGCUUCGGCUUCCGCGGUGAAAGGUGGCCUCUGCUUGCAAGCUACUACUUGAGGAUGAGCCUGCGUGCCAUUAGUCAGUUGGUGGGGUAACGGCCCACCAAGGCGAUGAUGGCUAGCUGGUCUGAGAGGAUGGCCAGCCACACU
rnacentral:rRNA from 1 species